CUCACGCCAUUCCCUAUCACCACACCAUUCUCCCAAACUCAUCCAAAUCUAUGGUCAUUCUCACAUGCAAUUAGUCCUUUAGAUUCACCGGCUCAUUCUUAACAAGGAAAGGAACUUUAAUUUCUCUUCUCUCUCAUGUCUCGUCACACUCUCUCUUUGAUAUGAAGGGAAGUUAAGUUUCUAAUAACAUCAAGUUGAAUUGGUAGUGCAUGUGUCUUGCUGAGGUUGUAAAUUGAUUAAUCAAGCUAGAACCUAAGCUUUAGGGUUUGAAGCUCAAUUUGAUGCAUAAGCUGUCAGAAGGAUCCAAAAAACCAGCUGAGGUGAGUUUCUUGGUUUAAGUUUGAAUUUUUGGAGGAUGGAAUGAGAUUAGAAUUUGAGAUUUAAGAAAUUAUUAUGGAAAAGUGAUUUAGCAACCUUAAUGAACUGUUGUUGUUGUUGUAUUGUGGGCUAGUGUUGUUGUUAAAACUGAUUGGUAUGAUUAGAAUGGUUAUGGCUGAAUUCUAUGGAAUUUUAGUUAAAAAUUCGUAUGACAGUUCAGGUACUAAUAGAGUCAUAGUUGUUGCUGUGUAGCCCAGACUUAUGUAAUUGUUGGAUUUUCGGAUUCUACACUUGAUUCCCUUCAGUUUGGGUGUAAACUUGAUAUGUUUUGGAUUAGAAAUGGAUUCGGAAAACGCGUUUAAAGUUUGGAUAUUGAUGCUGGAAACUGCUUACGGGUUUUAGCAUGGAUUUUGCAGAAUAAGCUAGAAUGUAAGUUUAAGUUGGGUGAGUAAUUUCAGAACUGAAUAUGUAUGCUUAAUUGGCUGAGUAAGAGUUUGAUUUGAAGUUUAAAUGCAACAAUUAGAAGUUGAAAGUCAGUAGCAGUUUUAUGCAGAAAAUUUGUUGCGAGUUUGCAUAUGCGAGUGGCACCAUCAAAUGGUUCUAAGCGGACGAGAUGGCUCGGUAUUGCUUGCAAUUUCAGAUAAGCAGAUUGUUCGAGGAUCGUGGCCUCGAAGCAUGAAGAUUCGGAUACGUGGUUUAUAUUAUGGAGCUGACAUUAUGUUAAUAUUAUGUUUGUAUAAGAUUCAGUUUAUUUAUGUUCAAAUGUUAGCUCAAUCAUGUAUUCAUUCAUUGGAUUUUUGUAAUCCUAUUCAUGUAUUUGGUCUUUAUGUAAUGAAAAUUAAUGUUUCCCGA